GAUCCUGGCUCAGGAUGAACGCUGGCGGCGUGCUUAACACAUGCAAGUCGAGCGAAGCAAUUUAAGUGAAGUUUUCGGAUGGAUCUUAGAUUGACUGAGCGGCGGACGGGUGAGUAACGCGUGGAUAACCUGCCUCACACAGGGGGAUAACAGUUAGAAAUGACUGCUAAUACCGCAUAAGCGCACAGUACCGCAUGGUAUAGUGUGAAAAACUCCGGUGGU
rnacentral:rRNA from 1 species